UAUCUCGUUUUUUGGUUUCUGCUGGUGGUGCACAUCCACACACUGCCUCGAUAUUGUGCACAUAACAAAAUACAUUCCGCACACGGAUGGAAAAAAUUAGUGGGAACAUUGGUCUAGCAGUUAGAGCUAGGGGGUGCUGGGAAUCAGGAUUGAUGCUGGUCAGCGACUACUUGAGAACCCCAGAUGGGAUAGGGCUUUGUAGCAGAGGGCAUACUCUGCUACCGCCUGCUGGUGAGCAAAGGGAAACAGCUGGUAUGGAACAAGCCUCAUUGGCAUUUUAAUUAGGGUUAUGGUUGAAAUUGGAGCGAAAGGUCUGUUUCCAUGAAGCUUUCGGGAGGAAGCUGAUUCAGAUUCACCCUGGAAUUCGUGCUCAGAACCAGACAGGAAGAGCCAGCCCCACACCAAGAGAACCAAGUGGUUCGAGUCUGCACAAGUUUUGAUACCAUCCUCAUCACUGUAGUAUCUGAGCAUCUCCAAGUAGUGCAUUUAAGCCAGGUGUCUACGCAUCCAUCACGUGGGGUUUGGUCUCUUGUCCUCUACCCAGAGGAAGACGGAUGCUGGGGAGCGUCUUGUUUCAGUAGCAACUUCAGAUCUACCUGCUGCUGUGUGUUUGCUAGAGAAGGCCCAGCUGAAGAACUGGACCGUGCUUGUAGGGAGAAACGGGUGGAAGUUUGUGAUGGGCCUCGGUUCUUGAGGAAGUUCAGUAGGGCACAUGGCUGCGAUGUGGAUGACCCAGCUUCAAAUCUUUGCUCUCAAUCAGGUGUGCAGGUCUCUCUCUCUCUCUCUCUGCUAACAAGUGGUAACAAAACCAGGAGGGUUCUGUGGAAGUGUCUCUUUCAGAGAGGCAGCAUUUUGUGAUGGAAAGAGGUUUAGAUGUGGAAAUUCCAGUCAGCUGUACUCAGGACUCCUGGGUUCUAUCCCUUACUCUGGGAGGGGCAUGGGGCCUAGUAGGUUAGAGCAGGGGAGGCUGGGAGCCAGGACUCUACCCUGGCCGGAGGUGGGAUGGAUCCUGAUGACCCGUGCUAAUAAGGACAAACACUUUGAUCUCACAGUUAAUGGGAUCAGUUUGAUCGGCGUGAGAGGCUGUUUGCGAAUAUGGGGGAGGCAGUUCAACGAAUGCUGACCCCAGUGUGGCACUAGGAGGUGCUGUGUUGCAGGGUGGGGGCUCAGAAGGGACUGUUUUCCCCACACAGUCAGUGUUGACCCCAAUACUCCAGUGCGGUGUAGGGGCCCACUGCGCUAGAGAUGAAAUGUAAAAUCCAGACCGUGGCCCAUCCAAAGCUCUAACCCACUAGGCCUCACCCCCUCCAGGAGCUGUGGAUAGAAUCCAGGAGUUCUGGCACCGAGCACGCCCCCCCCCUUGCCCUGCAGAAUCUAUUUCUGGAGACUAGUCACCUCCCUGCAGGGACUAUUCUCGGUGUGGGCGGUUACUUCAAAAUGGGUCUGCUCUGCCCCUCUAGCCGCCUUGGGCGAUUCUCCCUGCACCACUGGUCACCGGCACAGGAGGAUAAAACAAGCCAAAGCUCUGUGCUCCCACUGCCUGCCUGACCCAGAGGAGCCCAGCAUGGCCUGGGAUCUGCUCCUCCCACCUUCCACCCUGUUUUGCCUCGCGCUGGAAGAUCUGGGAAAAGAACCCAGGAGUCCUGGCUGUAUCAACAUCCCAUGAGCCAGGGGAGCUUUUGGCUGGUGAAGAAACAGCUAAGCAGCCUGGGGUCGAGAUGGCCUGUUUCUGAUCCCAUCCGUGCUUUUGAGGUGGCAGCAGAGAGGAACACGGACAUACCCAGCCACCCACAACCUCCAGCCAGGUCUCACUGAGGCUUCCCAGGAGCUAGGAAGGAUCAAGAGCCAAACGACCCAGUUUCACCCUCUUCCAAAAUGGCCACCCCGCCAUGUUGUUCUUCAGGGGCUGAAGACGCAGGCUGCCCUCUGGUGGCAAAGUGGGGAAAUGGUGGCUGCUGCCAUGCCAGCUGCCAGGUUGAUCUGCUAUAUUCAGCUCUGAUGGGGAAGUGGGAGGGGCUCAGGACCAGCUGGCAGGUGUAAUUUGCAUAGAUAUCCCAAGUGUCAUGUAGUACCCCCCCAGCUGCACCAAUCAGGGCUUUCCCCAGCUUCCACACUCACAAUCUGUCUCGCAUUGGCUGUGUGACUCCAGGGACAUGAACGAGGUGGAAAGGCUUAGAGCUGGUGGAUGUUAGUAAUUGGGAAGCAUGGCUCACCCUAACCUUGGAGUCAAUGGGCCCAGGUUGGCUAGUCAGGACCAAGGUAUUAUCAGGUUUCAGAGAGGGAGUUUUGUAUUAUGUAGUGUGGUAGCUGCUGGGGGAAAAUAAACAAACAGGAAGGUCAUCAUCUAGUAAUAAUGGAUUCUACUAUUGGUAGGAUUGGAUUCUGCCUGCCUUGGGGGCACCAAAUUUGAAUGCAGGUUUGUGGAGCAAAGCUAAAAGUGCAGGUAGAUCCAGGCUGGCUGGCACUCAGGGUUGCAACUUCCUAGGAGUUCCCUUAUCUACUCCUGGCAAACUCUGCCCAGUAGCGCAUCACUCUGCGGCUCAGCGCCAUUUCGUCCUCCGUGUGCGGGUGAUUGGCUCUCCCCACGGAUGCCAGGGUCCUGAACAAGUAGGGCAUCUCGGAGGCAUGUGGCACUGCCGUCCACUUGGGGGAAGACAAGCCACCGGGGCGGUGGGUGAAGGUGUAGACACACACGGGACUGCCAGCCUCCGCCAUCUGCCCAGCUGUCUUGGCUAGGGGGCACACCCCAUGAUAGUCACUGAUGACAUGAGGCAUGGUGCGUUGGUGCCAAGCCGGGCCCUGCCCCUCUUGGCUGUACUGCUAGGCCACUGCCUGGAUGCCCUCCCAUGGCAGCCCCAGCAUUGUCACCCUCAGCCCUCCAGCAGCUCCUCCCAGCUCAUGUGGCUAGCAUUCACCUUGGUGAAGUUAAGGGCACCGAUGAUGUAGGAGCCUUCGUUGGCCGUGACGCCAGCCAGGAGGGGUAUAGGCUGGCUGUGCCCCACCUCCAGGAGUCUUGGUGGCUCAUCGGGGAGGAAAUUCCCAUCGCCGGUUGGCAUGGACACAGACAUGGACAUAAUGCGUGUCCCAACAUCUCCCAGCUCCUUCCCCUGCAGGCAGCCCACCAG